UACGUAGGUGGCAAGCGUUGUCCGGAGUUAUUGGGCGUAAAGCGCGCGCAAGCGGUGCGGUAAGUCUCUGGUGAAAGCGCUCGGCUUAACUGGGCGAGGGCCGUGGAGACUGCCGGACUGGAGGGGAGCAGAGGCGAGUGGAAUUCCGGGUGUAGUGGUGAAAUGCGUAGAGAUCCGGAGGAACACCAGUGGCGAAGGCGGCUCGCUGGGCUCAACCUGACGCUGAGGCGCGAAAGCGUGGGGAGCGAACCGG
rnacentral:rRNA from 1 species